AUUUAUAUAAUAUAUUUUCCAUUAUAUUUAAUUUCCAAUUAAAAAAUCUCUUUGAGUAUAAAUA
rnacentral:tRNA from 1 species